rnacentral:rRNA from 1 species
CUAAAGUUAGUGGCGGACGGGUGAGUAACGCGUGGGUAACCUGCCUCAUACAGGGGGAUAACAGUUGGAAACGGCUGCUAAUACCGCAUAAGCGCACAGUACCGCAUGGUACGGUGUGAAAAACUCCGGUGGUAUGAGAUGGACCCGCGUCUGAUUAGGUAGUUGGUGGGGUAACGGCCUACCAAGCCGACGAUCAGUAGCCGACCUGAGAGGGUGACCGGCCACAUUGGGACUGAGACACGGCCCAA